CAGCCGCCGCGGUAAUACGGAGGAUCCGAGCGUUAUCCGGAAUUAUUGGGUUUAAAGGGUGCGUAGGCGGAUAGAUAAGUCAGUGGUGAAAGACGGUGGCUCAACCAUCGCAGUGCCGUUGAUACUGUUUAUCUUGAAUAUGGAUGAGGUAGGCGGAAUGUGGCAAGUAGCGGUGAAAUGCAUAGAUAUGCCACAGAACACCGAUUGCGAAGGCAGCUUACCAAGGCAAAAUUGACGCUGAGGCACGAAAGCGUGGGGAUCGAACAGGAUUAGAUACCCCUGUAGUCCCUGUCUCUUAUAC
rnacentral:rRNA from 1 species